rnacentral:rRNA from 1 species
ACUCCUACGGGAGGCAGCAGUGGGGAAUAUUGGACAAUGGGCGCAAGCCUGAUCCAGCCAUGCCGCGUGAGUGAUGAAGGCCCUAGGGUUGUAAAGCUCUUUCACCGGAGAAGAUAAUGACGGUAUCCGGAGAAGAAGCCCCGGCUAACUUCGUGCCAGCAGCCGCGGUAAUACGAAGGGGGCUAGCGUUGUUCGGAAUUACUGGGCGUAAAGCGCACGUAGGCGGAUCGAUCAGUCAGGGGUGAAAUCCCAGGGCUCAACCCUGGAACUGCCUUUGAUACUGUCGAUCUGGAGUAUGGAAAAGGUGAGUGGAAUUCCGAGUGUAGAGGUGAAAUUCGUAGAUAUUCGGAGGAACACCAGUGGCGAAGGCGGCUCACUGGUCCAUUACUGACGCUGAGGUGCGAAAGCGUGGGGAGCAAACAGGAUUAGAUACCCCAGUAGUCCCA